UACGGAGGUGCAAGCGUUAUCCGGAUUCACUGGGUUAAAGGGUGCGUAGGCGGAUUAGUAAGUCCGUGGUGAAAUCUCCGAGCUUAACUCGGAAACUGCCGUGGAUACUAUUAAUCUUGAAUACUGUGGAGGUUAGCGGAAUAUGUCAUGUAGCGGUGAAAUGCAUAGAUAUGACAUAGAACACCAAUUGCGAAGGCGCUGGCUACACAGAGAUUGACGCUGAGGCACGAAAGCGUGGGGAUCAAACAGG
rnacentral:rRNA from 1 species